UCAAUAGCGUAUAUUAAAGUUGUUGUGGUUAAAAAGCUCGUAGUUGAACCUUGGGCCUGGCUGGCCGGUCCGCCUCACCGCGUGUACUGGUCCGGCCGGGCCUUUCCCUCUGUGGAACCUCAGGCCCUUCACUAGGUGUGACGGGGAAGCAGGACUUUUACUGUGAAAAAAUUAGAGUGCUCCAAGCAGGCUUAUGCUCGAAUACAUGAGUAUGGAAUAAUAAAAUAGGACGUGCGGUUCUAUUUUGUUGGUUUCUAGGACCGCCGUAAUGAUUAAUAGGGACAGUCGGGGGCAUCAGUAUUCAAUUGUCAGAGGUGAAAUUCUUGGAUUUAUUGAAGACUAACUACUGCGAAAGCAUUUGCCAAGGAUGUUUUCAUUAAUCAGGAACGAAAGUUAGGGGAUCGAAGACGAUCAGAUACCGUCGUAGUCUUAACCAUAAACUAUGCCGACUAGGGAUCGGACGAUGUUAUUUUUUGACUCGUUCGGCACCUUACG
rnacentral:rRNA from 1 species